GACUUCAUGGUCAAGUGGUAAGGACACUUGCCUCUCACCCUGGAGCGCCGGGUUCAAUCCCCGAUCUAGGAUCU